UACGUAGGGGGCAAGCGUUGUCCGGAAUCAUUGGGCGUAAAGAGCGUGUAGGCGGCCAGAAAAGUCCGCUGUGAAAACUCGAGGCUCAACUUCGAGCUGUCGGUGGAAACUUUCUGGCUAGAGUCCGGAAGAGGAGAAUGGAAUUCCUGGUGUAGCGGUGAAAUGCGCAGAUAUCAGGAAGAACACCCGUGGCGAAGGCGGUUCUCUGGGGACGGUACUGACGCUGAGGAGCGAAAAGCAUGGGGGAGCGAACCGG
rnacentral:rRNA from 1 species